rnacentral:rRNA from 1 species
GAUGAACGCGGCGGCGUGCCUAAUACAUGCAAGUCGAGCGAGAAGCUUGGAAAUGACGCUUCGGUGAUUUUCCAAGCGGACAGCGGCGGACGGGUGAGUAACGCGUAGGCAACCUGCCCCUGACAGAGGGAUAGCCAUUGGAAACGAUGAUUAAAAACCUCAUGACACCCGUAAGUAGCACAUGCUACAUUCGGUUCAAAGAUUUAUCGGUUCAGAGAUGGGGCUUGCGUCUGAAUUAACUGGUUUGGUGAGGUAAACGGGCUCACCAAGGUGAACGAUCCAGUAGCCGACCUGAGAGGGUGAUUCGGGCCACCAUUGGAAAUUGAGACCCGGUUCCCAAAAUUUUACGGAAGGCCGCCGUUAGGGAAUUCUUGCCACAAUGG